rnacentral:rRNA from 2 species
AUGCAAGUCGAGCGGACAGAAGGGAGCUUGCUCCCGGAUGUUAGCGGCGGACGGGUGAGUAACACGUGGGUAACCUGCCUGUAAGACUGGGAUAACUCCGGGAAACCGGAGCUAAUACCGGAUAGUUCCUUGAACCGCAUGGUUCAAGGAUGAAAGACGGUUUCGGCUGUCACUUACAGAUGGACCCGCGGCGCAUUAGCUAGUUGGUGGGGUAAUGGCUCACCAAGGCGACGAUGCGUAGCCGACCUGAGAGGGUGAUCGGCCACACUGGGACUGAGACACGGCCCAGACUCCUACGGGAGGCAGCAGUAGGGAAUCUUCCGCAAUGGACGAAAGUCUGACGGAGCAACGCCGCGUGAGUGAUGAAGGUUUUCGGAUCGUAAAGCUCUGUUGUUAGGGAAGAACAAGUGCGAGAGUAACUGCUCGCACCUUGACGGUACCUAACCAGAAAGCCACGGCUAACUACGUGCCAGCAGUCGCGGUAAUACGUACGUGGCAAGCGUUGCCCGGAAUUAUUGGGCGNAAAGGGCUCGCAAGCUGUUCCCUAACUCUCAUGUGAAAGCCCCCCGCUCCACCGGGGAGGGCUACUGGAUACC